rnacentral:rRNA from 1 species
UGCAAUCUACCUUGUACAGGGGGAUAGCCCAGAGAAAUUUGGAUUAAUACCUCAUAGCAUUGCAGGAUGACAUCAUUCAACAAUUAAAGUCACAACGGUAAAAGAUGAGCAUGCGUCCCAUUAGCUAGUUGGUAAGGUAACGGCUUACCAAGGCAACGAUGGGUAGGGGUCCUGAGAGGGAGAUCC